AACUGUGAUCAAUUUUUGUAAAUAGUAGUGAUUUACAAUCGUAAUGGUGUUCAGUAAUUUGAGUGCGAUCACAGUACAUAUAGGAGUUCAGUAAAUAUAAUUCGAUCUCUGUUGCAAUAGCAGUUCAGUAUUUCUAAUUCGAUCACUGUAUCAAUAGCAAUUCGAAAAGUAGCAAUCACAGUUCAGUGCUCACGGUAGCAAUUUUAGUUGAGAUAUCGAUAAUUUUGGUUACGGCGAUUACAAAAGCAGUUAAAUGUACUCAUAGUUUAUUAAUUAAGUGAUUGUGAUUUCAAAUGCAGCGAUAUCUCCCCCAAUUCCGAAUCAACUAACAAUGGAUCAUUAACCCAACCGGGUAAAAACUCUCGACCACCGUCUUCAACGUCAUCACCAGGUGGUAGUCCAAUAUCGUCAUCCUUAUUAAAAUAGAAUAAUUAUUUAUGUAACCUUAUACAUAUAUAAUAUCUACGAGAGUUUUAUAAGGACACUACCUUCUUCACUGUCACUUCUCUUGUACCCCAUGAGACAUCAUUCAUGUUGAAGACUGAGUAGAUAAGUAGGAGCAUGUACAUGGAAGGAAUGGUGAUAUAAUAGAUGAAACCACAUAUUAACGCACCGACUUCUUGAGGAUGUACUAUGCCUAGAAAGAGAAAAUGUAAAUAAAUUGUUAUGCAAUUUGUUGGUGACUCGAAUACCCGCAAUAAAAAUUUGCAGAAAAACCAGAAGAAAGAACAAAGAGGCGGGUGCCAAAGGUCCAUCGUCUAUCAUUUGUAUGAUUAUGCCAAUCAAUACAGCCAUCAUUACCAGACAAUACAAGGAACUUAUUACGAAGGCAAGCAAAAGCUAAAAUUGAAAGUAAGAAAUAAUUAAGAAUUCGUAAUAAAUAGUGAAUAUCUAUUAUAUUUUUAUCCAUGUACCUGAAACUUUUGUUUUAAAUAAAUGCAAGACAAAAUAAAGCAAAGCACUGGAAUGAAGUUCCACAAGAACGAGCUCCAAAUACUUGUAUUGAACACAGCUACUAGCGCACCCACCAUCAUUAAGAAAAUGGUGCCUGGACCCAAAAUUGUACCAACCAUUAGCAUUGCCUGAUAAGCAAUGUAUGGCGUUGAAAUUGAACUAUUAUUCUUCACUACCAUAUCCGCAUCAGAGAGUAAGUCAAAUAUGUUGGCAAUUGUAGAGGGAACCCAACGGCGUCGUUGAUUAUAGAAUUCAUUGAACAUUUCCGGUGAAUGAGUGUAAGCGUCCGAUGCAGCUGAAUAUUCUACACGUAAGCCUUGUUUUAAAAUCAAUGUACAUAACCAACGAUCUUCUCCUUGAUCGUACUGCACAUAAUGCAUGGGUUCGCUGGAUACCGUAGUGUACUUUUUCAUUACGCUAUUCUCCAUUAGUGCACUGCCACGAAAUAAACUAAAGCAACCGGGGCUACAGAGCACACAUCCAAUUACGUGUUCCGUAGCUUUCUGCAGCCAAUGACCUAUCGCAUAUUCAAAUAUUUGAUACCAGACCAUAGGUCCUCGACCGACGGGAUGUAUACGUCCGCAGGCAGCGCCCAAUUCGUCUAUGGCUUUCAUGCGAUCAAUCAAAAGCUGUACCGCUUGUGGCUGAAAGUCAAUAUCGCCAUCCAGUGCCAAAAGAAAUGUGUUCUCAGCAAUAACCGCUUUUCGUCGAGCAGAUACACCUUCAAGUUCCAUAAUGCGGAAACCAAAUGAGCUAUCAUUUUUGAGCGGCCUGGUAAUGUCCACACAAGGCGACCACCAUAAGGUGUUUCGGUCUUUACUGGAGACUUAAUCUUCAUGUUGACACCAUAAACCUCGAAGCAUGCCUUCUCUAUGCUGACAAUUAAAG